CCAGCGCCGCUACCGCGUACACCCCGGCGCCGCCCAGCAGGAAGGCGGCGCGGGUGUCGGCGUCGGCCUCGCCGCCGCCCUCCUGGUAGCGGAGACAGGCGUCCACGACGCGGCGGGCAGCCCGCAGAAAUUAAUAAUCAUGGAAUGAGGUAAAAUAUCCACAUGAUGGGCCAGGCUAAUCCUAUGACUGAGAAGAACCAGGAACACAGACUGCCUCUCAGGCCUGUCCUGUGGUGGACCCUGCUUUUGGAAAGAGUGGUCAUGCUGGUGACAUCACUGAAUGUGACUCCAAGGAGCCUUGGUCCUGCUCCCAGCCCUUCUUUUCACUUGCAGCAUGAACAGAGAGGUGAAUUGAUCCUCUGCGGGAGAGCAGCUUACCUAUUCGAUACAGCACAGAGAACUGGUAUGCCUGUUUUCAGAGCUGACAUCCCUGAAGUUGUCCAUGAGAUCAUACUCAGGUCUCUUGAUACAUGAGACUAUAAAAGUGUAAAACUUUAAUAAAGAUAAGAAAAACUGAUAAUACUUGA